rnacentral:rRNA from 1 species
UGGGGGAUUUUGCACAAUGGGCGCAAGCCUGAUGCAGCGACGCCGCGUGAGGGAUGAAGGCCUUCGGGUUGUAAACCUCUUUCGCUGGGUUGAAAGGCCAUGCUUUGGGUGUGGUUGAUUUGAACUGGUAAAGAAGCGCCGGCUAACUACGUGCCAGCAGCCGCGGUAAUACGUAGGGCGCGAGCGUUGUCCGGAUUUAUUGGGCGUAAAGAGCUCGUAGGUGGUUCGUCGCGUCUGUCGUGAAAGCCAGCAGCUUAACUGUUGGUCUGCGGUGGGUACGGGCGGGCUUGAGUGCGGUAGGGGUGACUGGAAUUCCUGGUGUAGCGGUGGAAUGCGCAGAUAUCAGGAGGAACACCGAUGGCGAAGGCAGGUCACUGGGCCGUUACUGACACUGAGGAGCGAAAGCGUGGGGAGCGAACAGG